rnacentral:SRP_RNA from 1 species
GGCCCGGUCCCUCGCAGUAGGAGCGGAUCGAACCGGGUCAGGCCGGGAACGGAGCAGCCCUAAGGUCAGUGCCCUAGGUGCGGGGUGCCCGGGCCCAC